rnacentral:tRNA from 1 species
GAUAAAAUGGCUGAGUUGCAGGCGAUAGACUGUAAAUCUAUACACGGAGAUAUAAUCCUUUUAUCA